GAACUUAAGCAUAUCAAUAAGCGGAGGAAAAGAAACUAACAAGGAUUCCCCUAGUAACGGCGAGUGAACCGGGAAGAGCUCAAAUUUGAAAUCUGGCGUCCUCAGGGCGUCCGAGUUGUAAUCUAUAGAGGCGUUUUCCGUGCCGGACCGUGUCCAAGUCCCUUGGAACAGGGUAUCAAAGAGGGUGACAAUCCCGUACUUGACACGAUGACCGGUGCUCUGUGAUACGUCUUCUACGAGUCGAGUUGUUUGGGAAUGCAGCUCAAAAUGGGUGGUGAGUUCCAUCUAAAGCUAAAUAUUGGCGAGAGACCGAUAGCGAACAAGUACCGUGAGGGAAAGAUGAAAAGCACUUUGGAAAGAGAGUUAAACAGUACGUGAAAUUGUUGAAAGGGAAACGAUUGAAGUCAGUCGUGACUGUUGGGCUCAGCCAGCUCUGCUGGUGUAUUCCCUUCAGUCGGGUCAACAUCAGUUUUGACCGGUGGAUAAUGGCAGCAGGAAUGUGGCACCCUCGGGUGUGUUAUAGCCUGUCGUCGCAUACAUCGGUUGAGACUGAGGAACGCAGCUCGCCUUUAUGGCCGGGGUUCGCCCACGUCCGA
rnacentral:rRNA from 1 species